rnacentral:tRNA from 1 species
AGCCCUGUAGUGUAGCGGUCUAUCACUAAUGGUUCUGGGCCAUUAAACCCAGGUUCAAAUCCUGGCAGGGCUA